rnacentral:rRNA from 1 species
GAUGAACGCUAGCUACAGGCUUAACACAUGCAAGUCGAGGGGUAACGAGAGGAAAGCUUGCUUUCCUUGUCGACGACCGGCGCACGGGUGAGUAACGCGUAUCCAACCUGCCCCCAACUAAGGAAUAACCUUGCGAAAGUAAGACUAAUACCUUAUAAUUUACUCAGAUGUCAUCUGACGAGGAAUAAAGAUUUAUCGGUUGUGGAUGGGGAUGCGUCUGAUUAGCUUGUUGGCGGGGUAACGGCCCACCAAGGCAACGAUCAGUAGGGGUUCUGAGAGGAAGGUCCCCCACAUUGGAACUGAGACACGGUCCAAACUCCUACGUGAGGCAGCAGUGAGGAAUAUUGGUCAAUGGGCGAAAGCCUGAUCCAGCCAAGUAGCGUGCAGGAUGACGGCCCUAUGGGUUGUAAACUGCUUUUAUACAGGAAUAAAGUUAGCCACGUGUGGUUAUUUGUAGGUACUGUAUGAAUAAGGACCGGCUAAUUCCGUGCCAGCCGCCGCCGUAA